rnacentral:rRNA from 1 species
GCGCAGCAGGCGCGAAAACUUCACACUGUGCGAAAGCACGAUGAGGGAAUCCCAAGUGCUUGCACGUAAGUGUAAGCUGUUUCUCUGUCUAAAACGCAGAGAGAGUAAGGGCUGGGUAAGACGGGUGCCAGCCGCCGCGGUAAUACCUGCAGCUCAAGUGGUGACCGUUAUUAUUGGGCCUAAAACGUCCGUAGCCGGUUUAAUAAAUGCCUGGGUAAAUUGUGUAGCUUAACUAUACGAAUUCCGGGUAGACUGUUAAACUUGAGACCGGGAGAAGUUAGAGGUACUCCUGGGGUAGAGGUGAAAUUCUGUAAUCCUA